rnacentral:lncRNA from 1 species
GUGCUCAUUUCAUCUUUUUCCCAACUGGUAAAACACAUAAUCAUUAUCGUAAAUUCGUAAUUCUAUUUCCGUUUGCAUAUCAUUUUCCUCGUUGACACCGGACACCCUUCUUAGCCGCUACUCCGUACUAGGGUUUGGUUUCUCUUAUUUUUAAUUUUCGGUAGUGUUUAUUUCCAUUUUUACUCUACCUUGCAAGCUAUUAAUGAUCUUCUCCGUGUUCUGGCAAAAAAUUGUGGAAUUCAAAGGGUUUUCAAGGUUUAAGGGGAGAUAAGACGGGUACUUGGUAUUUUGGUGGGAGGACUUUUUUAUUUUUAUUUUUUCAUUUUGAAAAUUUGCGGUCGUGACUGUGUACUGUCUUGAAUUUUGAUUACUGCUUCAGCUUUGGAAUGAUUUGAAAGAGUGAUGGCGUGUUCAUUUGAAGAUCUGGAACUGGUUUACAUCUAGUGGGAUAUUUUAUUUUCGUUUUUAUUCCACCUUGCUAGUUAGUAUUUUUCUUCUCAGUGUUCUGGGAAUAAGAAACAGUGUAAAUUUGUGAAAUUCGAAAUUAUUUCAAGGUUUAAAGGAAAAAAGAUACAGUCUUGAUUCUGUGUUAUCUUGAAGUUUUGAUUGUUCGCUUUAUCUUUGUAAUGAUUUGAAAGAUAGGUGGCCAUGUUCAUUUGAAGAUCUAGAACCGUUUUAAAUCUAGUGGGAUAUUUUAUUCAGGAAGAAUUGAGCUUUUGCAUUGUUGAAGUAUAGUUGUUGACUUGAAAAGGGAAAAUGGAUAAUUCAAAUCUGCCUGGGCAGAUGAAUAGACAGAUUGAUCAUUUGGGUGUGAACAAGAUGGGAAAAAACAUUAAGAAGAGUCCUUUACACCAGCCCAAUUUUUCUGGCCCUGCUAGGCAACAGCCUCAACCCCAGGUCUACAAUAUUAACAAGAAUGAUUUCCGUAAUAUAGUUCAGCAGCUCACUGGAUCUCCUUCUCAAGAACCGCCAUCUAGACCUCCCCAAAACCCUCCAAAACCUGCAAGUAACCGAUUACAGAGAAUUCGCCCUCCGCCUUUGGCACCAAUGAAUCAACCUCAAAUCCCGAUUCAUCCUUCUAUGCCAAUGCCUGCAUCAGCACACCCUGUACGGGAGCUUCCUAACAACUUUGCAAGACCUCCUCCCCCUCCAGCCCAUUAUGGCCAACCUUCACCACCUGUGUUCCCACCAACUCCUACUGAUGUUUGGGCAAAUACAGCUGAGUCUCCUUUAUCAGCUUAUAUGCGCUACCUGCAAAAUUCAAUCAUCGAUCCAGGUUUCCGACAACCCCAGCCUCAUUAUCAACCUCACUUGCAACCUCAUGUUCCUGGUCAAAAUCUAGCUCGGCCAGCGGGUUCUGGUUUGCUUCCUAAUCCUACCAUGCAACCGUUCCCAUCUCCAAGAAUGAAUGGUCAUCCAAUCCCUCUUCCGUCACCUCGCAUGAAUGGCCCCUUGCCCCAUCUUCCUUCCCCUAGGAUGAAUGGCCCUCCUCCCCUUUUACCCUCUCCUACUUCUCAGUUCCUUUUACCUUCACCUACUGGCUAUUUGAAUUUAUUGUCUCCUCGAUCACCUUAUCCAUUACUUUCUCCAGGGUAUCAGCAUCCUCCUCCUCUGACUCCUAAUUUCUCAUUUUCUUCCGUGCCCCAAUCUGGAAUUUUAGGUCCUGGACCCCAGCUACCUCCUUCUCCUGGUUAUGGAUUUCCUUUGUCACCUUCAGGGUUUUUCCCUCUACUAAGUCCUAGAUGGAGGGAUGAAUAUUCUUAAAAGCACAAGCUACUGACUCGCAAGGGAUACAAAUACUGUCAUUUUUUAUGACUUUCUUCAUGUUGAGUCAUUUCUUCUGUAUCAUAGCUUCUCCUAUGGAUUUCAAUGUACACCGAGAUGCAACGGUUCAUCGUGGAAGUAUGUAGUCUUCGUGUUUGCUGUUGUUUUUCUUGUUUAUACAGGCGCCUUCUGAGAUGUGGAUUCUGUAACAGCUGCAAUCUGUUUUUAUCUGCCCAAAAUGAUUUACUUCAGGUGAUAUUCUGAAGAUUGGACCACUUCUGCAUACACAUGGGCGGCUGCAGCAUGUAAGCAGGUAGUAUUAUAGUCUUUGCAGAUUCAUGUAGGCCAGCUGAUGAAAAAGUAGUUUUGCAUUUUUGUAAUAUUGUUCAUCUUACAGUUAGUCUGAAUUGAGAUUCUUAGUGACUUUAUAAGAGCAUAAAAGUUCUCACUUUUCUGUUAAAUCAUUUUGCUUUUGCACUUGUAUUUUCAUAUACAAUCAUCUAUGUAUUUUUUUUUCCUUGGUAAGCUGUGAAUUUUUUGGGCUUAUUGAUAAUUUGUCUUUCUGAGCAAUUCUUGUGGUGGUAACAACUGCUAUUGCAAUUAAAAUUAAAUAAGUUUGUCUCGGAUGGAUGUGUGGAUGAGAUGGAAGUUAAAAAUAGUUUAUUUUUAGCAUUUUACUUGUUGAUAUGUAUAUUCAUAUUUUUAUUCAAUUUAGAAAAAUGUACUACCACUUCGGCAGUAGAAUUGUUGUUUGGCUUAUGUGUUUCAUUUACAAGGGUUGUCAGAAAACAUUUGACAAUUCUUGUCGUCUAUGACAGCAACCUCUGGAGGCACUUGUCCCUUUAGAUUUAGCUUGGCAAAUUUAUAAAUGGUUUAUAAAGAGAAAUAAUAUGGGUCUACUACAUAUGUGGAUAAUAAAUGAUUAGUAGUACUUAAUGUGUUGUUGAAGUUAACAUUUAACGUUGACUGAACUUAUAACCUACUUGUAAAUUGGCUUGCCAAACAGAGGUUUAGCCCUUGUUUGAUUCCCAUUCUUUUAUUAUUAAAAUGAAAAAUAUAACCGUUAUCCAUCACAUCAAGUCACAAAAUUUGAAUUUUUAUUUCUUGUGUGGGGCCCAUAACAGCUAUAUUUUUCAUUCACAUUCUUCAAAAGAUGAGAAACAAAUGGGGGCUUAAUUUUAUUUUUGUCUUCAAUGGAUGUCCUCACCUUUGUCAAGCAAGAUUAUCACCUUAUGGUGUGAUUUACAUGCCUCAUUGUCAAGCAUUAUCAUAGAUGCUGUUUUGUUUUAUUUUUAUUUUUCUUUUUUGAUUCUGAUAGUAUGUUAUUGAUAUAUUCUUCAUACACAAUCCUCUACAACUGAUGGAUGGGUUUAACUAUCGAUUCCGUUGAUCUCUUGUACAUCAUGACUUAGUUUGCAUCGUAGGUUCUACAGAGUCUUGCUGUCAUAUUCUCCUUUUUCAUCUUAACCUGACUUCCCCUUCAAACAAAAGAAAAUAUUUAUGAUUGUUUAACUCUCUCUCUCCAUAUAUAUAUAUAUAUAUAUGCAUAUGUAUAUAUAUAUAUGUAUAUAUGUAUAUAUCUAUGUAUGUAUGUAUGUAUGUAGAUAUAUGUAUGUAUGUCUGUACUGUUAUGCACAUGAAGUAUAGUUAUUUGAUGUUCAUUUAAUGAUAUGAAUGCUUGUUAAUCUAGAGUGCAGGGCUCGAUGUAUAUUAUUAGGGAGGUUGCGAAUCUAAAUAACCUCUUCCAUGGCCAAAGAUUUAGAUUUAUAAUAUAUUUUGUUUGUAAAAUUGCACCUAUGGUCGAUUCUAUUUUGGUCUCAAAAUUUAACACUUCGCUUUUGUCCUGUUACUUCAACUUCUUCAACCAUUGAGGACAGUAUUAGGUGGAAUGUGCAUUUUGAACGCAAAAGGUUACUUGUGGAGAACUUGUGUCGAUGCGUCUGCUUUGGAAAGGUAUUCUUGACUAUUCUAAGCAAAUCAAAGUUACCAGUCAAUGGGUCCUCGCAGUCAAAAAAAAUUAUGAGCCUUAGCAGUCCUCUACUAGAAACAAGUAUUCUGUUUUCCUUAUUACGUGAGUGAAGUAAAAUUUUAGGUAGUCGUGUAAGGAAUAUACUAGAAAUCCUGUCCUAUAAUUGCACUGACAUGGAACCUCUCUCAGCAUUCUGUCAUUAGCACACUACAAUUGACCCCCGACUCUUCAUCCCAUAAACAAUGUAUAUGAGCAUUCAUAACCAUUUUACCUUGUUUUUCGUUAGAUUUUUCUAGUUACAUUACAUUGAGUAAAUAUAUAUUCAUGUUAACUUGUACAUAGAAUAGUUAGUGUACUGUUUGAUUAUGCAGCUAUUGAGCAGGAAUUUUCCCUCCAAAGCUGCAUGCAACAUCAUAAUGUGCUCUGUAAAUGACUUCCAUACUCUGAUUGUCUACCAUUGCCCUCAAUCUGUGUAGAUACUCAAGCUAUGGUUGCUCAAUGUGAUUAAGAGCCAACAAGUGGGACUAGAAGGACACCAAGCCUUGCAAUAUUUUCUUUAUUGUAGCCAUUUAUGGCCCUAUUUUUUGAAUUGGCUUUCGUUUUCAUAAGAUCAAUAGAAUUUGACUAGUUUCUUCAUUUUCUGAUUGUAGCUCUUUGUAAUAGUUCUUUUUUGGUAAUGAUUCUAGUGUGUAGUUCUAACACAUUACAUUUUCAUGUGGAGUUCAUGUGAAGAGUAAGAGGGGUGGGAACAUGGAUUGG